AACGAACGCUGGCGGCAGGCUUAACACAUGCAAGUCGAGCGAGAUCUUCGGAUCUAGUGGCAGACGGGUGAGGAACACGUGGGAACAUCCCUUUCAGUUCGGAAUAACGUUGGGAAACUAACGCUAAUACCGGAUACGUCCUUCGGGAGAAAGAUUUAUCGCUGAAAGAUUGGCCCGCGUCUGAUUAGCUAGUUGGUGAGGUAACGGCUCACCAAGGCUACGAUCAGUAGCUGAUCUGAGAGGAUGAUCAGCCACAUUGGGACUGAGACACGGCCCAAACUCCUACGGGAGGCAGCAGUGGGGAAUAUUGGACAAUGGGCGCAAGCCUGAUCCAGCCAUGCCGCGUGAGUGAUGACGGCCUUCGGGUUGUAAAGCUCUUUUACCCGGGAUGAUAAUGACAGUACCGGGAGAAUAAGCUCCGGCUAACUCCGUGCCAGCCGCCGCCGUAACAC
rnacentral:rRNA from 1 species